rnacentral:rRNA from 1 species
CCUACGGGAGGCAGCAGUGGGGAAUUUUCCGCAAUGGGCGAAAGCCUGACGGAGCAAUACCGCGUGAGGGAAGAAAGCCUACUGGGUUGUAAACCUCUUUUUUCAGGGAGGAAAAAAUGACGUGUACCUGAAGAAUAAGCAUCGGCUAACUCCGUGCCAGCAGCCGCGGUAAGACGGAGGAUGCAAGUGUUAUCCGGAAUUACUGGGCGUAAAGCGUCUGUAGGUGGUUUAAUAAGUCAACUGUUAAAUCUUGAGGCUUAACUUCAAAACAGCAGUCGAAACUAUUAGACUAGAGUAUAGUAGGGGUAAAGGGAAUUUCCAGUGGAGCGGUGAAAUGCGUAGAUAUUGGAAAGAACACCGAUGGCGAAAGCACUUUACUGGGCUAUUACUAACACUCAGAGACGAAAGCUAGGGUAGCAAAUGGGAUUAGAUACCCCAGUAGUCCUAGCUGUAAACAAUGGAUACUAGAUGUUGAACAGAUCGACCUGUGCAGUAUUAAAGCUAACGCGUUAAGUAUCCCGCCUGGGAAGUAUGCUCGCAAGAGUGAAAACUCAAAAGGAAAUUUGACGGCUGAAGAGUGUUCGAGACGACACAGGAGAGG